rnacentral:rRNA from 1 species
UUGAACGCUGGCGGCAGGCCUCACACAUGCAAGUCGCACGGUAACAGGAAGAAGCCUGCUUCUUUGCUGACGAGUGGCGGACGGGUGAGUAAUGUCUGGGAAACUGCCUGAUGGAGGGGGAUAACUACUGGAAACGGUAGCUAAUACCGCAUAACGUCGCAAGACCAAAGAGGGGGACCUUCGGGCCUCUUGCCAUCGGAUGUGCCCAGAUGGGAUUAGCUAGUAGGUGGGGUAACGGCUCACCUAGGCGACGAUCCCUAGCUGGUCUGAGAGGAUGACCAGCCACACUGGAACUGAGACACGGUCCAGACUCCUACGGGAGGCAGCAGUGGGGAAUAUUGCACAAUGGGCGCAAGCCUGAUGCAGCCAUGCCGCGUGUAUGAAGAAGGCCUUCGGGUUGUAAAGUACUUUCAGCGGGGAGGAAGGGAGUAAAGUUAAUACCUUUGCUCAUUGACGUUACCCGCAGAAGAAGCACCGGCUAACUCCGUG